UACGGAGGGUGCAAGCGUUAUCCGGAUUUACUGGGGUUAAAGGGUGUGUAGGCGGGCCAUUAAGUCAGGGGUGAAAUCCCGGAGCUCAACUCCGGAACUGCCUUUGAUACUAUUGGUCUUGAAUGUUGUUGAGGUGGGCGGAACGGGUCAUGUAGCGGUGAAAUGCAUAGAUAUGACCCGGAACACCGAUUGCGAAGGCAGCCCGCUAAGCAACUAUUGACGCUGAGGCACGAAAGCGUGGGGAUCAAACAGG
rnacentral:rRNA from 1 species